AUUGAACGCUAGCGGGAUGCCUUACACAUGCAAGUCAAACGGCAGCACGGACUUCGGUCUGGUGGCGAGUGGCGAACGGGUGAGUAAUGUAUCGGAACGUGCCCAGUAGCGGGGGAUAACUACGCGAAAGCGUAGCUAAUACCGCAUACGCCCUUCGGGGGAAAGCAGGGGUUCGCAAGACCUUGCACUAUUGGAGCGGCCGAUAUCGGAUUAGCUAGUUGGUGAGGUAAUGGCUCACCAAGGCCGCGAUCCGUAGCUGGUUUGAGAGGACGACCAGCCACACUGGGACUGAGACACGGCCCAGACUCCUACGGGAGGCAGCAGUGGGGAAUUUUGGACAAUGGGGGAAACCCUGAUCCAGCCAUCCCGCGUGUGCGAUGAAGGCCUUCGGGUUGUAAAGCACUUUUGGCAGGAAAGAAACGGCGCGUGUUAAUACCAUGCGCAACUGACGGUACCUGCAGAAUAAGCACCGGCUAACUACGUGCCAGCCGCCGCGGUAA
rnacentral:rRNA from 1 species